ACUCCAACCGGGCUCAACUGCGCGCCGCARGCUAUGYUGGCGAGGGAGCCAUAUGUUGCAUGGCAGACACCAUCGCGCGRGUCAUAGACGACCACGCCCAGGACUGGAGUUCAGACGGCCAUUUUGGAGCGAGGAGGAGCCGUGGUAGUGGGAGAUCAUGCUCCUCCUCAAGCUCCUCAAAGAGUGACAUCACCCUCACAGAGGAACUCUUGGCCCAGGGGGAAUCCCUGGAAGAGGACCAAGAGGAGGUGGCUGCGAUCGGCGACAACAAGAAAUGUGACUCUGCUAGCUUGGAGAAGGCCAGCAGCAGCUCCCUCUCCACAGACCUUGUGGACAGCACCUCUACCAUUAACCAACAGUGAAGGACGAGGCAAUGAGGAAGUUAGGAAAGGGGAAGCGAGGUCGCAAGAAGACCCUGAAGAAGAACAAGGUGGCUCCCCUUGGCACUGAUGAUACCGUGGCUGAUGAGCCGGGAAAAAAACACUCUCCUCCUGCGGAUUACAGCUGCCGUGGCAAAACUAUUUUGCCUCCCCUGUAAAAAAAGAAGCGGUUAAAAAGUAAUUGUGUGGGUAUACCCACUUAGUAGGCACUUCAGUGCACCUGCCUCCUCUACAAACCCAGAGUCAACAGAAGAGGGAGACAAACCCCCCUACUCACAACACUUUUGAUGAUUCCAACCAUACCCCCACGCUAUGGUGGCGAGGGAGCCAUCUGUUGCAUGGCGGACACUAUCACACACGUCAUAGAUGACCAUGCUGAGGAUUGGAGCUCUGAUGGCCAUUUUGGAGCCAGGAGGAGCCGUGGUAGUGGGAGUUCCCACUCCUCAAGGAGUGACAUCACCCUCACCAAGGAGCUCUUGGCUGAAAGAGCCAAGGAAGCGGACCAAGACGARGUGGCUGAUGACACAACUGGCAUGAC